GUGAAAAUUGAAUAUACUUAUACUACGCAUUUAUUAAUCGCAUUUUUUUUUUUCGUUUGAUAUAAUAUGUUAAUAUAUCUAAAUGUAUGUUUUGAAGUUACUACAGUAGUUUUACCUCAUUUUAUGGAAUACUAUAACAGUUAUAAGUGCCUUUAAAAUAUUAUGCGGUAAAAGAAAAAGAAAAACAGUAGGUAUUAACAGAAUUUGUAUCAAAAUGUUUAGUUUACGACUGUCUUCGGUUUAUCUGUUUUAUCUGUUUAAGAAGUAACAGUAACAUUUACCGUCUGGCUGUCUGAAAGGUAAUGCAACCAAAUGUUAUUUCAUACUUUCGAUAUUGAUCAGGGCCUAAUAGACCUACAACAAAAAUUAUUUCACUAAAUAAUUAAAGUUGAAAACGUUAAUUGUUAUGUUUUCAGACAGGAAUUUUUUGAUAUACACAUUAGGUACAAAUACGAAUCUCUAUAAGGAUAAAUAAUUAUAUGUUUUAAGUUUAAAGUAUGGAUAGAUUUUCUGAGAAAUAUAAAUUUUAAAAAAAAUCACACUUUGAAAAACAUUACAGUACCCAUAUUUUGACGUCUUUAAUUUAGUAAAAUCAUUUUUUUUUUUAUUUAAGUUUGUUAGAUCAUGAGUACUAUUGGAAGUCCAAAAACACAUUUUUUUCUAUAUUGCCGGUCAGAAAGACAAAUACGGCAAAUGAUAUUGUGACAUCCUAAAAUUAUAUUAUUAUAGAUUCGAUGUACUAAUAAAAAAAUCCCUACCUAAUAACCAAUUCAUGUAAUUAUAUCAACAAAAUACUUACAAUUUUCGAUUAAACAUUUCACAAUAAACAUUAAAUUAUUUCAUUUACCUUAUUUAGAUUGACUCCCAAAAUAAAAUCUAUUAUUGAAUUGGUUCCCAUAACAUAUUCAAAUAGCGUUUCUCUAAGUAUAUGGCUUUAUAAAAUUCAAUAAUUUUGUUUAAAAUUGUUAUCUUUAAUUAAUUAUCGCCUUUCAUAAUAGUAUGUAGAUAAAUUAUUGAUAAUAAUUGUAUAUGAAUAUAAUAUACAUAUUUAAUUCAAUAUUUUUAUUUUUAAAUCAUUUUGGUGUAUGAAUUGAAAAUAAUUUACGAAAUAAAAAACAUGGGAGCCAGUUCAAUGAGUAAAAAUACAUGGACUAUGCCUAACUGGGUGGGAGCCAAAUCAAUAUCAUCAAAUUUUAUUUGACUAAAAAAAAAUUAAUUAAAAAAUAAUACAUGUGCAUUUUGAUUGUAAUUUAUACCUAGUUAAAAAUUGUAAUUUAUUUUGUGCGAACCGCGGGUAUUCUCGUAUCGAAGCCAACGUCAAAAUAUGAAACCUGUAUCCUAUGAACAAGUCCAAGGGGGUGGGCGUAAGCCAUUAUAAUAUAAUGUUAUUAAUGUUAUUAAUGUAUAUUAUUAUAUUAUAAUGUAUGAUUAUAUGUACGUAUUGAAUUAUUAUUAAAUAAUACAUUGAAAUAUAUAAUGUAAACAUUGUUAUACUUAUAAUAUUAUAACAUGUUAUUUAGAACUAUAAAUUGUUUUGUUUGCGUAACGAAAUAUAUUAUUAUUUAUCAUUAAUAUUAUUAUUAAAUGUUAAGUGUUUUCUGAAAAAAAAAAAAAAAACACUAUACUCGUUAUUAAAAUAUAUAUAUUAAUAAAAUACUCACCUGCUAUUAUCAUAAUGUUAUUCGAAGAGUAUUAAAUAUCUAUCUACUAAACUCUAGAGAGACUAGAUUAAUAAUAGACUGGACAUACUCGGCGAUACUUUCAGAAGCGCUGGUAUAGGAAAUGUGUUGGGAGGGUGAUUCUGCUAUCAGUCAGUUAUUUGUAAUGGGACUGAAUAUAGAGUUGAAAGUCCAACUGAAUUCCUGUAGUAAUUUCGAAACGGGUGUGGCAUUUCGACCACCAAACGUCUCCCUUAGUUACGGCCCUGGAUACGUUUCUAUUAGUCGACACGUUCUUGGUCGCUGCGUUUACUGUUUAAUGCAAAACAUUUUUUUUUUUAAGAGCAAUAAACAGUGAUUUACUUGUUGAUUUUAUUAGGGUUUUAAAUAUUUGAAAUGUUCAUAUAACGUAUUGCACGAAACAUGAUGGGCUACUACUUAUCUAGCGGGUUAUCGGCCACUCUUCUGUUCGUCUAGUCUCUCUAUAAUAUACUAUAUACAUUUAUAAUAUUCUACUUGUUGUAAAAAUAAUAUCAUAUUUUCAUAUAGUUAUUGUAAAUAUAGUUGUGUUUAUACGAAUAUCAUGAAUAAACAAUAUACCAAAUGUAGUGUUAC
rnacentral:lncRNA from 1 species